rnacentral:rRNA from 1 species
CAUGACAGUUGCGUAUUCGAAUGUUGUCGAAGCAUAGUAGUAUCCUGAGUAGCGCGGAGCACGAGGAAUUCUGCGUGAAUCUGCCGGGACCAUCCGGUAAGGCUAAAUACUCCCGAGAGACCGAUAGCGAACCAGUACCGUGAGGGAAAGGUGAAAAGCACUUCGAACAGAAGAGUGAAAUAGUUCCUGAAACCGUGCGCCUACAAGCGGUCGGAGCUCGUUAAUGAGUGACGGCGUGCCUUUUGCAUAAUGAACCUACGAGUUGCCUUUGCCGGCAAGGUUAAGUGUGACGACACACGUAUCCGAAGCGAAAGCGAGUCUGAAGAGGGCGUAUAGUCGGCAGUGGCAGACGCGAAACCAAGUGAUCUACCCUUGGCCAGGUUGAAGGCUGGGUAACACCAGCUGGAGGACCGCACCAAUAAGCGUUGAAAAGCUUCUGGAUGAGCUGAGGGUAGGGGUGAAAGGCUAAUCAAACUUGGAGAUAGCUCGUACUCCCCGAAAUGCAUUUAGGUGCAGCCUUGCGGGUUACUGAUGUGAGGUAGAGCGACUGAUAAGAUGCGAGGGCUUCACCGCCUAUCAAGUCUUGACAAACUCCGAAUGCGCAUCAGUUCUACCGCAGGAGUGAGGGCAUGGGUGCUAAGGUCCGUGCCCGAGAGGAGAAGAAUCCGGACCACCUGCUAAGGUCCCGAAAUGACAGCUAAGUUAAACUAACGAAGUCUGACUGCUAAGACAGCUAGGAUGUUGGCUUGGAAGCAGCCAUUCAUUUAAAGAGUGCGUAACAGCUCACUAGUCGAGGAGUCGGGCGUGGAUAAUAAUCGGGUAUCAAGUUGUCUACCGAAGCAGUGGGAUCAUUUAUAUGAUCGGUAGGGGAGCAUUCCAGUCAGCGUCGAAGGCGUACCGUGAGGUAUUCUGGAGCGUCUGGAAAAGCAAAUGUAGGUAUAAGUAACGAUAAAGGGGGCGGGAAACCCCCUCGCCGAAAGACUAAGGUUUCCUGAUCAACGCUAAUCGGAUCAGGGUCAGUCGGGUCCUAAGGCUCAGCCGAACGGCGAUGCCGAUGGCAGAAACGGUUAAUAUUCCGUUACUACCUUCAGGAGUGACGUGGAGACGCAGUAGUGACAGUGCCGCCAUCUGACGGAAUAGAUGGUUGAAGGGUGUAGGAGUCGAUCAUGGCAGGCAAAUCCACCAUGAGAUCCGAACCUGAUAGUAUGCCGCGUCCUUCGGGACAAGGCAAUAGUGCGCGUAAGCAUGCUGCCGAGAAAAUCCGCUAAACUUAAUCCUGUAGGUACCCGUACCGCAAACGGACACACGUAGUCGGGAUGAAUAUUCUAAGGCGCUUGAGUGAUUCACGGUUAAGGAACUAGGCAAACUGACCCUGUAACUUCGGGAUAAAGGGUCCCUACCCUUUUAUGGGAGGGCGCAGAGAAUCGGUCCAGGCAACUGUUUAACAAAAACACAGGGCUGUGCCAAAUCGAAAGAUCCAGUAUACAGCCUGACACCUGCCCGGUGCUGGAAGGUUAAGAGGAGAUGUCAUCGAUAAGAGAAGCGUUGAAUUGAAGCCCCAGUAAACGGCGGCCGUAACUAUAACGGUCCUAAGGUAGCGAAAUUCCUUGUCGGGUAAGUUCCGACCUGCACGAAUGGUGUAAUGAUCUGGACGCUGUCUCAACCGUGAGCU